rnacentral:rRNA from 1 species
AUUGAACGCUGGCGGCAGGCUUAACACAUGCAAGUCGAACGAGUGGCGGACGGGUGAGUAACGUUUGGGAAACUAGCUUAUGGAGGGGGAUAACUACUGGAAACUGUAGCUAAUACCGCGUACUAUCAGAUGUGCCCAGAUGGGAUUAGCUAGUAGGUGGGGUAAUGGCUCACCUAGGCGACGAUCCCUAGCUGGUCUGAGAGGAUGACCAGCCAAAAUGGAACUUGGACACGGGCCAGACUCCUACGGGAGGCAGCAGUGGGGAAUAGUGGACAAUGGGCGCAAGCCUGAUGCAGCCAUGCCGGGGGUGUGAAGAAGGCCUUCGGGUUGUAAAGUACUUUCAGCGGGGAGGCGUUAACCGCAGAAGAAGCACCGGCUAACUCCGUGCCAGCAGCCGCGGUAAUAC